UCGGUUAAAAUGGAAGAGAAAGAGAUAGGUUCUGUUUCUUUUGAUCUUGUUAAUCAGGUGCAGGACUGGGGUCUUGAAGGUUUAAAAGUCCACGAGGAUAAAGAUUGUGAAGCUCAGGCAGAGAGCCCCCAGAUAUGUGAAAAUGCAGAAAAAUUUGAUAAGGUCACUUCAAAUGACACUGAUGAUUUUGGAAGGAUUGAAGAUUCUACCCCAAAAGAAGAGGUCGAAGGAGAGCCAAACAUCUCACCUAGUGCCUGGG
rnacentral:misc_RNA from 1 species